UACAGAGGGUGCGAGCGUUAAUCGGAAUUACUGGGCGUAAAGCGCACGUAGGUGGCGACGUAAGUCGGGUGUGAAAACCCCGGGCUCAACCUGGGAAUUGCAUUCGAGACUGCAUUGCUGGAGUACGGAAGAGGAGGGCGGAAUUCCCGGUGUAGCGGUGAAAUGCGUAGAUAUCGGGAGGAACAUCAGUGGCGAAGGCGGCCCUCUGGUCCAGUACUGACACUCAAGUGCGAAAGCGUGGGGAGCAAACAGG
rnacentral:rRNA from 1 species